UGUAUGUGUCAGUAUGUCUGUGUGUGUGUAUGUCAGUGUGUCUGUGUGUGUAUGUCAGUAUGUCUGUCAUAGACACACACAGACAUACUGACACAGACAUACUAAC